rnacentral:rRNA from 1 species
UACGUAGGGGGCUAGCGUUGCUCGGAAUGACUGGGCGUAAAGGGCGCGUAGGCGGUUUGGACAGUCAGAUGUGAAAUUCCUGGGCUCAACCCGGGGGCUGCAUUUGAUACGUUCGGACUAGAGUGGGGAAGAGGGUCGUGGAAUUCCCAGUGUAGAGGUGAAAUUCGUAGAUAUUGGGAAGAACACCGGUGGCGAAGGCGGCGACCUGGUCCUUGACUGACGCUGAGGCGCGAAAGCGUGGGGAGCAAACAGG